UCUGACACAGGUGCUGCAUGGCUGUCGUCAGCUCGUGUCGUGAGAUGUUGGGUUUAAGUCCCGUAACGAGCGCAACCCUUGCCUUUAGUUGCCAGCAGUUCGGCUGGGCACUCUAAAGGGACUGCCGGUGUUAAACCGGAGGAAGGUGGGGAUGACGUCAAGUCCUCAUGGCCUUUAUGACCAGGGCUACACACGUACUACAAUGGCCGAUACAAAGGGCAGCGACACUGCGAGGUGAAGCCAAUCCCGUAAAAUCGGUCUCAGUCCGGAUUGGAGUCUGCAACUCGACUCCAUGAAGUUGGAAUCGCUAGUAAUCGUGGAUCAGCAUGCCACGGUGAAUACGUUCCCGGGCCUU
rnacentral:rRNA from 1 species